AUUGAACGCUAGCGGGAUGCCUUACACAUGCAAGUCGAACGGAGUGGCGAACGGGUGAGUAAUGUAUCGGAACGUGCCCAGUAGCGGGGGAUAACUACGCGAAAGCGUCGCUAAUACCGCAUACUAUUCGAGUGUCCGCUAUCGGAUUAGCUAGUUGGUGGGGUAACGGCCCACCAAGGCGACGAUCCGUAGCUGGUUUGAGAGGAAGACCAGCAACCCUGGAAUGGAGAAACGGCCCAGACUCGUACGGGAGGCAGGAGUGGGAAAUUGUGGACAAUGGGGGAAACCCUGAUCCAGCCAUCCCGCGUGUGCGAUGAAGGCCUUCGGGUUGUAAAGCACUUUAAGCAGGAAGGCGGUACUAGCAGAAUAAGCACCGGCUAACUACGUGCCAGCAGCCGCGGUAAUAC
rnacentral:rRNA from 1 species